GUUCCAAUUUUCAUACCUGAUUUCAAUUCGACUUGAGAUAGAGUGAUAGAUGAGACGACUUCCUUUCCUUCCUCUUCCAGAAUUCUCCGAACUCCAAUCUGAAGGUUGUGCAUAACUUUAGGUGCAAACAUUGAAGUUUUGCACCUGAAUGCUGAAGCUGUACCGAGUUCGUUUUGGGUAAUUUAUUGUUUUAUUUUUUUCUGCUUUUGUUUUAAUUUUCUUUCUUUGUAAACCCUCCAAUGAGUUUAUAACUGCCCCAAAAAUAUUAGAAAAACUUGUUAUUGAUGGAAGUAAGUAGUGGUUUUUAUUGUGAAGUAAUAUUACCCAAUUCGACCUCCCGCCUCCGCCUGAUUUGGGGUGUGAGAAAGUGGAACCUAUCAGCUAUUUUUCUUUCUGGCUUCUACCAUUGUUGAUUGUCCAAUGUCUUGGGCUUGAUAUUUA